rnacentral:rRNA from 1 species
CUACGAAGGGGGCUAGCGUUGUUCGGAAUUACUGGGCGUAAAGCGCACGUAGGCGGAUUGAUAAGUUAGGGGAGAAAUCCCGAGGCUCAACCUCGGAACUGCCUUUAAUACUGUUAGUCUCGAGUCCGGAAGAGGUGAGUGGAAUUCCUAGUGUAGAGGUGGAAUUCGUAGAUAUUAGGAAGAACACCAGUGGCGAAGGCGGCUCACUGGUCCGGUACUGACGCUGAGGUGCGAAAGCGUGGGGAGCAAACAGGAUUAGAAACCCUAGUAGUCC